rnacentral:rRNA from 1 species
GGGGGGUGGGUGGGGGGGGGGGGGGUAAUGGGGGGGGGGUGGGCGUGGGUGGGGGUGACUGGGGGUAAAGGGGGGGGGGGCGGCUGGGGUUGGCAGGGGGUAAAGGCCCGGUGUGAAGCUGGGGACUGCGUUGGAGACGGCGGGGCUAGAGUUCGGGAGAGGAGAGUGGAAUUCCCAGUGUAGAGGUGAAAUGCGUAGAGAGUGGGAAGAACACCGGUGGCGAAGGCGGCUCUCUGGACCGAGACUGACGCUGAGGCGCGAAAGCGUGGGGAGCAAACAGGAUUAGAUACCCCAGUAGUC